ACACGACUACAUUAGAUACCCCCGUAGUCCUAGCCGUAAACGAUACUCGCUAGGUGUCGGCCACGGUGCGACCGUUGUCGGUGCCGUAGGGAAGCCGUGAAGCGAGCCACCUGGGAAGUACGGCCGCAAGGCUGAAACUUAAAGGAAUUGGCGGGGAGCACCACAAGAGGUGGAGGCUGCGGUUCAAUUGGACUCAACGCCGGAAACUCAUCGGGAGCGACAGCAGUAUGAUUGCCAGGUUGAUGACCUUGCUUGACAAGCUG
rnacentral:rRNA from 1 species